GUAGGAGUGGCGUAGUUGUGGGAGUGGAGUUUUGUAGAGUUUCAGCAAUCGUCGUCGCCGUCGUCGUCGUCUUCGUCUUGCUGGCACGUCUCAGUUGCUCGAGUGAAGCCACGCAACACGGCUUGAGGAGGGGAGAGGAGGGGAGGAGUGUUGUGGCUCGUGUCAUUGCAGGGAAAUCUGUUCGCUGUUGGAGGUGUACUACUACGCCACGGCCGGACUAGUCUCGGGCUAUUCGCUACUACUGUUUACUAGUCUCCUUACUACGGACACUGAAGUUUUUUUCGUUUUUUUCCUGUUCUCUUGUGUUUUAUUUAUUUUUCUUUCGGCGUCGGAAUUGGCGCAGAAUUGCGUUUUUUUUUUAUGAUUUCCGCGUGGUGUGUGGGAGUUGAAACGGUGUAGCGACUCUUGCGGGGGUUUUUGGCAUUCUUUCACAGUAGGGUGUUGCCGGAAUUUGACGUUUGGUCUUUGAGAAUGCUGGACAAGAGACCAGAGACUUUCUCGACUUCAAUGAAGACAUCUUCUGGGGUGAGGACCGUGGAGCAUUCCUAUGAGCACGAUUACAGUCCAAAGGUCCAGGUGAAGUCCUUCAUAGAGCCUCAGGAUGCUGAAAAGCAAGAAAUGUUGCUAAAGCUUCAAGCUGCAUUUCCCGGCUUCUCUCCACAGUCUAUAGCUGCAGCGCUUGAAGAGGCAGAUGCUGACGUUAAUGCUGCGGCAGAGCUUUUAGCCACGCGCCAGCCGGAAUCGGAAGCAGUAAACUCUACUGGUCUUCAAGGUCGUAAAGGUCCGGUUGCCAACGUCGAGGGAAAUGGCUGUAGAAGAAUGCCUCGUCCAGAUGCUCUCACGGAACCUGAUAACCUCAUUAGUGGGACCAGUGAUCGCCCAAGCUGCUGGACUGGUAGUGUGGUAGUGAGAGAGAAUCAUGGCGACGAAACGAUGGUGGCAAAGAAGACGAAGAUGCAGAAGAAGCGAAGAGGUGGAGCAAAACUUGAAGAAUUAGAACCAAAAGAUGCUGCCGCUCGACGAGCUGUUGAGAAGUUUUUGCUCUCCAUGCUUGGUGAAGAGUUCAACAUUGGCCAAGCUGUGGUGAGGGAUGUUCUAGAUUUUUUCCAGGGUGAUACUCAAAAGAGCCUGGAUACGUUGCUGAAUAUGGCGUCAACUACAUCAGGACAUGUUUCAAGUAACGACCAGCAAGGGUCAAGCGUCGAGGAAUCUUCAAUUAGUGCUGAUGCCGAGGCGGACGCCAUGGACAACUCAUUACUUUCCCUAAUGGAAGUAUUUCCUGAUGUAGAUCCUGCGCUAGUGGUCAUGGCCUUUCAGAAACAUAAUGGAGAUUUGGAGAAAAUCUCCAAUGCUUUACUUUUGGACGGGCAAGCGGUGCCAGAGCAUUCUGGCCACCAGAAAGGACUUGCCAAAGUAGGAGACUCUGACCACUCUGAGAAAAGGGUUAUUCUUGCUCAAUUGAAUCGAUUGUUCCCAGUGGUCGACAGUAACUUCUUGUGGGAGGUUCUGAAAACAACUAAUUUUAUUUUAAGAGAUGCACAUCAAGUUCUCUUCAGUGCCGGUUUUGCUCCGACAUCUGAGCGUUCAGAAUGUAGUGUCCCUCAAGCGGUCCAGCGCAAAGUCUUACCUCCUGUUGUGAAAACUUUGCACAAAGAUAGUGAUAACCAAACUAUUUCUACUGAGCCGCGUGUAUUACAAGGUGCGUGGGUGAAAAUAAAACCACUUGAUACACCAGGGAGAAAAAAAUUGAUAGCUACUGGAGUUGAAGGCGGUGCAUUAAGCACAGUAGAUUCUGUCAGGAAGAACAUAGCGAUUCAUUCUCAUAACUUCGAAGGCAACGUAGGUGCCGAUGAUUAUAAUAGUCAUCGCCAUUGUGCCAAGGAAAAUUGGUCCACAAUGCAAAAUUAUUUCAGAGAGGCUGCUUCUGCAUAUUCUCGAGGACAACGAAGUUAUGCUUCUGUUCUAUCUGAAAAGGGGAAGUACCACAAAAAGCUGGCUCAAGAAGCAGAUGAACGUGCCAGCUUGCGUAUAUUUGCCGAUAGGAAUAGGAACAUUGAAAACAACAUUACCAUAGAUCUCCAUAAUCAGCACGUGCUUGAGGCCAUACAAGUGUUGAAGCUUCACCUUCGAUCGCUGUCUCCCAUCUUGUGUAAGAGGUUUUGGCUGUCUCAGCUGUGCAUACACUAACCGUCAUCACUGGAUACGGAUUCCACAGUAGCGAUGGGCGCGGUAGAAUCAAAUCAGCUGUGGUAAGCUUCCUGACAAGGAAAGGGAUAGAUUGGAAAGAAUCAAAUCCUGGUUGUAUUAUCAUCAUGUUGAAGCAUGCUCGCAAGAUUUUUAAAGAUGAUGAAAGCUCAAGUGAGUGUUAUUGACGGGUUCCUCAAUUGCUUGUAAUGCUGUACUAGAUAUAUUUGUCUUAAAAGCGCUUUGGAGUGAAUGUUUUGGAUUAUUAAAUUUAUAUCAUUUUGAUAGACAUCGAUAUUAGUAAAACUGAAUGGGUCAGGAUAAUCAGCAUAAUCUUCUUAACCAGGUUAGUGCCUGAUUCUCUUUAUCUAGUUUUUGGAAAUCGAGAUAGACUUGAAACGGACUUAUCCGCCUGUUCAGAUGUAAAAUUGUGUGAUCAUUAUUGUUCUGUUUCACACUAUAGUUAUAGGCCGUGACCUUCUUCUUUUAUGCUUCCUUGGAACAUAUUCUAUUUGCCGCUGUUUAUUUUGAGAAU